AUGGUGAACGUUCCAAAGACCAAGAAGACCUACUGCAAGAACAAGGAGUGCAAGAAGCACACCCUCCACAAGGUUACACAAUACAAGAAAGGCAAGGAUAGUCUUUCUGCUCAGGGCAAGCGUCGUUAUGACCGCAAGCAGUCAGGAUAUGGUGGCCAGACAAAGCCUGUUUUCCACAAGAAGGCCAAGACAACAAAGAAGAUUGUGCUGAAGCUGCAGUGCCAGAGCUGCAAGCAUUACUCGCAACGCGCCAUCAAGAGGUGCAAGCACUUCGAAAUCGGUGGAGACAAGAAGGGCAAGGGAACCUCUCUCUUCUAA
rnacentral:rRNA from 1 species